rnacentral:lncRNA from 10 species
CUUCAUUCCUGCUCCUGCCUCCUGACGAACCUGGUGCUUCCUCAUGUGGUUCUGUGUGGCAUGACAUGUCCCCUUCUCCUGGGAAAUAAAAGAGAAAAGAACCACCUGAGUAAAGGAAAUCUGCAACUUGAACUCACUAAAUAAGUUGCUUUGAUUUUGGAUUCAGAGGGAAAAUGCACAGAUGUGUUAUAUGGGUAAAUCUCAUGUUGUAGGGGUUUGAUAUUCAGAUUAUUUCACCACCCAGGUAAUAAGCAUGGUACCCAAUAGGUAAGUUUUCUGUUCCCACCCUCUUCCCACCCUCAAGUAGGCCCUGGAAUCUAUUGUUCUGUUCUUUGUGUCCAUGUGUACUCAGGGUUUAGUUCCCACUUAUAAGUGAGAACAUGCAGUGUUUUGUUUUCUGUUCCUGCAUUAGUUUGCUUAGGAUAAUGGCCUCCAGCUCCAUACAUGUUGCUGCAAAGAACAUGAUCUCACUCUUGUUUAUGGCUGUAUAAUAUUCCAUGUUGUAUAGGUACCACAUUUGCCUUAUUCUGUCCACUAUUGAUGAUGAUUUAGAUUGAUUCCAUGUAUAUGUUAUUGUAAACAGUGCUGUGAUGAACACAUAUGUGCCUUUGUCUUUAAUAGUAGAAUUAUUUCUAUUCCUUUGGGUAUAUCCCCUGUAAUCCGAUUGCUGAGUCAAAUGGUAGUUCUAUUUUAAGUUUUCCAAGGAAUCUCCAAACUGCUUUCCACAGUGGCUGAACUAAUUCAUAUUACCACUAGUGGUAUGUAAAUGUUCCCUGUUCUCCACAACCUCACCAUCAUCUGAUUUUUUUUUUUACUUUUUAAUAAUAGCCAUUCUGACUGGUAUGAGAUGGUAUCUCAUUAUGAUUUUUAUUUGUAUUUCUGUAAUGAUUAAUGUUGAGCAUUUUUUCAUAUGCUUGUUAGGCCACGUGUAUGUCUUGUUUUGAGAGGUGUCUGUUUAUGUCCUUUGCCCAAUUUUUAAUACUAUUCUUUUUUGCUUGUUAAUUUGUUUAAGUUCCUUAUAGAUUCUGGAUAUUAGACCUCUGUUGAAUGCUAGUUUACAGAUAUUUUCUUACCUCCUGCAGGUUGUCUGUUUACUCUGCUGACAGUUUCAUUUGCUAUGCAGAAGCUCUUUAGUUUAAUUAGGUUCCAUUUGCCAAUUUUCAUUUUUGUUACCAUUGCUUUUAGGGACUUAGUCAUAAUUUAUUUGCCAAGUCUAAUGUCCAGAAUGGUAAUUCCUCUGUUUCUUUCCAGUGUUUUUUUAUAGUUUUAGAUUUCACAUUUAAGUCAUUAAUCCAUCCUGAGUUGAUUUUUGUAUAUGGUGAAGGGAAGGGGUCCAGUUUUAGUCUUCUGCAUAUAGCUAGCACCGUUUACUGAAUGGGAAUCUUUUCCUCACUGCUUGUUUUUGUCAACUUUAUCAAAGAUCAGAUGGUUAUAGGUGUAUGGCUUUGUAUCUGGGAUCUCUAACCUGCUCCAUUGGUCUAUGUGUCUGUUUUCCUACCAGUACCAUACUGUUUUGGUUACUGCAGCCUUGUAAUAUACUUCGAAGUUGGGUAGUAUGAUGCUUCUGGCUUUCUUCUUUUUGCUUAGGAUUGCUUAUGCUAUUCAGUGUCUUUUUCAGUUCCAUGUGACUUUUAGUAUAGUUUUUUCUAAUAUUCAAUUACUUUGAAUGUUGUUCAUAAUAUGCAGUAAGGCUAAAAAAUAAGUUUCAAAGUGGAAUGUAUGGUAUGAUCUGAGUUUUAAAUAGUAUAUAAAAUAUAAAUUCAUAUAUAAGGGGCAAAAAAUGUAGGGUAAAAAAAGAUAUGAAAAUACCCAAAUGGUAACAAAAUCACAGGCAAUCUUUACUAUGCCUGCUCAUUUUUCUAUAAUAUGUGUGUGUGUAUAUAUAUGCAUACAUAUAUCACUUUCAUAAAAAGUUUUUUAAUAAAAAGUUACCUUUAGAAUAGUGAGAACUUACUUUAUUUUGUAACCUACUUUAAAAUUAGCAUAUUUUAAUUUUAUUGGCAGUGUUUCAUUUAUCAACACCAAGCAAGGAAAUCUACAUCAAGGAAAUAACAAAAGUCAUUUGCUAGUUACCAAAAAUUACACUAUUACUUUGAGAAACUCCUUAUUUAUUUGUUUGUUUUUAGAGAUAAUGUCUUAGUCUGUCUCUCAGGCUGCAGUGCAGUGGUGCGAUCAUAGCUCACUGCAGCCUUGAACUCCUGAGCUAAAGCAAUCCUCCAGCCUCUGCCACCCCAGUAGUUAGGAUUACAGGUGUGUGCCACCAUGCCUGUUUAUAUAGUUUGCAUGUGUGUCCCUACCCAAAUCUCAUGUUGAAAUAUAAUAGCCAAUGUUGAAGGUGGGGCCUGGUGGGAGGUGACUGGAUUAUGGGAGCAGAUACCUCAUGUAUGGUUUAGCACCAUAGCCUUUGGUGCUGUCUUUGUGAUAGUAGGUUUUGUGAUAGUAAGUUUCAUGAGACAUGAUCAUUUAAAACUGUGGCACCUACCUCCAUCUCUCUUGCACGUACAUUCACCAUGUGAUAUGCCUACUCCCCCUCUGUCUUUUGCCAUGAUUCUAAGUUUCCUGAGGCCUCCCCAGAAGCCAAGCAGAUGCCAGCAUUAUGCUUCCUGUAUAGCCUGUGGAAUGGUAUGCCAAUUAAACCUCUUUUCUUUAUGAAUUACCCAGUCUCUGGUAUUUCUUUAUAGGAAUGUGAGAAUGGCCUAAUGCAGAAAAUUGGUUCCAAGAAAUGGGGCAUUACCACGAAGAUAUUAGAAAAUGUGAAAGCAGCUUUGGAACUGUGGAACAGGCAGAGGUUGGAAGAGUGCCAAGAGCUCAGAAGCUAGGAAGAUCAGGGAAAGUUUGGAACUUUUUAGAGACUGCUUAAAUGGUUAUGACCAAAAUGCUGAUAGUGAUAUAGAUAAUGUAGGCCAGGCUGAUGAGAUCUCACAUGGAAAUGAGGAACUUAUUGGGAACUGGAGCAAAGGUCACAUGUGUUAUGCCUUAGCAAAGACCCUGGCUGCAUCGUGUUCAUGCCCCAGGAAUCUGUGGAAGUUUGAACCUAAGAACAAUGACCUAGGGUAUCUGGUAGAAGAAAUUUCUAAGCAGCAAAGUGUUUAAGAUGUGGUGUGGGUGUUUCUAACACACUCUACUCAUCUGCAGGAGUAAAGAAAUGAGUUAAAGUUGGAACUUAUAUUUAAAAGAGAAGCAGAGUGUAGACGUUUAAAAAAUUUGCAGCCUGGCCAUGUGGUAGAGAAAGAAACAGCUUUCUAGGGAGAGGAAUUCAAGCAGGAUAUGCAGCCACCACUUGCUGGAGAAAUUUGCAUAACUAAAAAAAGGCAACUGCUAAUAGGCAAGACAAUGGGAAAAAGGCCUUGAAGUCAUUUCAGAGAUCUAAGAGGCAGCCCCCUCAUCAUAGGCCUUGAGGCCUAAGAGGACAGCAUGGUUUCCUGGGUCAGGCCCAGGGCCCACUGCUCUGCACAUCUUUGGGACACUGUCCCAUUCAUGCUGCUGUUCCAGCACCAGCCCUGGCUCAAAAGGGCAGAGGUACACCUCUGGUCACUGCUUAUUUGGGUUGCCAGAGGGUCAUGAGCAAUGGUAAGUUGUACGUUUCCUGAGGCCUCCUUAGAAGCUGAGCAGAUGCUAGUAUCAUGCUUCCUGUACAGCCAGCAGAACCAUAAGCCAAUUAAGCCUCUUCUCUGUAUAAAUUGCCCGGUCUUGGGUAUUUCUUUAUAGCAAUGUGAGAAUAGCGUAAUACAUCUAGCUAAUUUUUUAAAACAAAUUUUUUAUAGAGAUAGGGUUUGUGUUGUCCAGGCUGAUCUCAAACGCCUGGCCUCAAGCUGUUUUCCUGCCUCAGUGUCCCAACAUGGUGAGAUCAUAGGUGUGAGCCACUACACCUGCGGAUAAACUUAUCACAAUAAAAAUUUGAUAUGAAUUGUAAAAUAAAUUAAGUAGAAAAUUUAAAAAACCUUUUUCUAAAUGAAGAGAAAAUGGGUACAUAUAAUUCUUUUUUUACCCACAUUAAUAAUUUUACAGUAACCAAGAAUUGGCUGCUAAAUGUCUGAAUGUUUCUUUAUAUGAUUUCCUAAAAUGUUGUUUUAAAUAUAUAGGCAAAAUUUGUUCUUGCUACACACCUUUUUUGCUAUAUAAGUAUACAUUUCAGGAAGGAAAUUAGAGUUUCAACCAAAUUCAAUAGUUUUUCUCCUUCUCUUUCUUCUUGCUAACUUCAUUAUAAAACCUAAGUUAAUACUAUAUUUUAGCAUUGUGGAGAAACACCAAAUCCACAAAAUUUAGCCUGUCUAUAUAUGCCUUAACAAAAUCAAAUAAAACUUAACAUAUGAACUGUGAUUUCUUUUAAAACAGAUGUAGUGAAAUGGUUAUAUAUCUUUCUUAGGCUAUGUUGGAAAAAGUGCUGGAAUUAAAUUCAGAUACUGGAAUUAAGACUCUUCAAGACCCUUCAUUACCAUAAUCACUUUGACUUCUGAGAUUUAAGAUGUAAUGACUGACCUGCUAGAAUUUGAACUUGUGUGGGGCCUGUAGCCCUCUCUUUUGGCUGAUUUCUCCCUUUUGAAAUGGGAAUGUUUAUACCCCCAUUGUAUCUUGGAAAUAAGUAACUUGUAUCAGAAUAAAUACUCAAUAUUUAUAAAAUAAAUGGAUAACAUAUUAAUGUACCCAACAUAAUUGACAUUUACUACUCAACAUAAAAUUAUAUUUAAGCUGAGAUGGGGAGGAUGAGGAGCCAUACCUAUAGAACGUGCCACAGAACAAUCUAAGUAGAGGGAAAAGAAAUCAUAGUUAAAAUUGGAACACACUCUGGGUAUGAAGAACUGAAAGGAGGCUAGGGUGGCCAGAGGGUUGUGAGCAAGAACCAAAUGCUGUGAGACAGAAGGAAAAUUAGGCAACUGUCAGAUCAUCUAGAGUCUAAUAUAACUGGUGCAAAGACUUUAGAUAUUUACAUAUAACAGGAAGCCAAGAAAAGGUUUUAAGCAAGGAAGUUAACUUGUCAGAUAUAUGUUGUUUAAAGAAAUGUAUACUGCCUAUUAUGUGAAAUAAUCUAGGAGAGCUAAAAAUGGGAAUAGUUAACAUACUUUGACAGUGAGUUGGUCUAGGAUAGUGCGAAGAGCUGGUGGGAAGAUAGUGAGGAUAAUGGGAAGAGCUUGAGAUACAUUUUGAAGGUAGAACCAAUAGGACUUGCUGAUAUGUUAAAUGUGAGAUAUGUGACAAAGAAAGGAAUCUAGGGUCUCUUUUGGACAGGAACCAGCUGAUUCAGAAAUGCUGAGAUGGGAAGAACAGGAAGAAGAGCAUGGAGGUGGGAUUCACUCUGCUAACUUCAAGAAUAUGAGAUAGAGGCCAGGCGCGGUGGCU